GGGGGCGUAAAGGUUUCGACGGGGAUUUUGAGACACGAUAAGCGAGUAGUGGCGCGGACCCACUUUAAAAGCCGCAACUUUAAAAUUAAACGACAACAAUACUGUUGCCUACGCUGCCUAAUUAGGCGGCCGUCCGACCUGAGAGCACCGCGGCUCAGCAAGGGCGUCGAUUAGCGGUGAACGUGAACCGAUGAGCUCCUCGUAAUCGGUCAUGAAUUCAGGGGAUACCGAGCGCAUAGGCCUGACGGCUGGCGUAUGCGCGAGGGAAACUCGGUAAACCGUCUGCACUCGGAGAAGGUCGUGAGGAUGAGUUUUCGGACAGGGGUUCAAUUCCCCUCGCCUCCACCA
rnacentral:tmRNA from 1 species